UACGUAGGGUGCGAGCGUUGUCCGGAAUUACUGGGCGUAAAGAGCUCGUAGGUGGUUUGUCGCGUUGUCCGUGAAAUUCCCUGGCUUAACUGGGGGGCGUGCGGGGCGAUACGGGCAGGACUGGAGUACUGCAGGGGGAGACUGGAAUUCCUGGUGUAGCGGUGGAAUGCGCAGAUAUCAGGAGGAACACCGGUGGCGAAGGCGGG
rnacentral:rRNA from 1 species